AACGAACGCUGGCGGCAUGCCUAACACAUGCAAGUCGAACGAGACCUUCGGGUCUAGUGGCGCACGGGUGCGUAACGCGUGGGAACCUGCCCUUAGGUUCGGAAUAACUCCCCGAAAGGGGUGCUAAUACCGGAUAAUGUCUUCGGACCAAAGAUUUAUCGCCUUUGGAUGGGCCCGCGUUGGAUUAGCUAGUUGGUAGGGUAAAAGCCUACCAAGGCGACGAUCCAUAGCUGGUCUGAGAGGAUGAUCAGCCACACUGGGACUGAGACACGGCCCAGACACCUACGGGAGGCAGCAGUGGGGAAUAAUGGACAAUGGGCGAAAGCCUGAACCAGCAAUGCCGCGUGAGUGAUAAAGGCCUUAGGGUUGUAAAGCUCUUUUAACCGGGAUGAUAAUGACAGUACCGGGAGAAUAAGCUCCGGCUAACUCCGUG
rnacentral:rRNA from 1 species